UGAAAACGACUCUCGGCAACGGAUAUCUCGGCUCUCGCAUCGAURAAGAACGUAGCGAAAUGCGAUACUUGGUGUGAAUUGCAGAAUCCCGUGAACCAUCGAGUCUUUGAACGCAAGUUGCGCCCGAAGCCAUUCGGCCGAGGGCACGUCUGCCUGGGCGUCACACACC
rnacentral:rRNA from 1 species